UACGUAGGGGGCGAGCGUUGUCCGGAUUUAUUGGGCGUAAAGAGCUCGUAGGCGGCUCGGUAAGUCGGGUGUGAAACCUCCAGGCUCAACCUGGAGACGCCACUCGAUACUGCCGUGGCUAGAGUCCGGUAGAGGAGCGUAGAAUUCCUGGUGUAGCGGUGAAAUGCGCAGAUAUCAGGAGGAAUACCAGCGGCGAAGGCGGCGCUCUGGGCCGGUACUGACGCUGAGGAGCGAAAGCGUGGGGAGCAAACAGG
rnacentral:rRNA from 1 species